AGAAAAUGACCUUUUUAAUGGUUGUUUCUUAUACUGUCUUGCCUCACGCUCAGAGUCGCCAAACUUUGAGAGCGUGGGGCUUUUU
rnacentral:ncRNA from 1 species